CCUACGGGCGGCAGCAGUGGGGAAUAUUGCACAAUGGGCGCAAGCCUGAUGCAGCCAUGCCGCGUGUGUGAAGAAGGCCCUCGGGUUGUAAAGCACUUUCAGCGGGGAGGAAGGCGGUGAGGUUAAUAACCUCAUCGAUUGACGUUACCCGCAGAAGAAGCACCGGCUAACUCCGUGCCGGCAGCCGCGGUAAUACGGAGGGUGCAAGCGUUAAUCGGAAUUACUGGGCGUAAAGCGCACGCAGGCGGUCUGUCAAGUCGGAUGUGAAAUCCCCGGGCUCAACCUGGGAACUGCAUUCGAAACUGGCAGGCUAGAGUCUUGUAGAGGGGGGUAGAAUUCCAGGUGUAGCGGUGAAAUGCGUAGAGAUCUGGAGGAAUACCGGUGGCGAAGGCGGCCCCCUGGACAAAGACUGACGCUCAGGUGCGAAAGCGUGGGGAGCAAACAGGAUUAGAUACCCGAGUAGUC
rnacentral:rRNA from 1 species